CAAACGGCCCGAGCAAGGCCGAAGGCGCGUUCUCCCAGCAGGCUCCGCGCGCGCCGUCCGACCAAUCAGCGCCAGCUUUAGGCCGUGUUGUCAUAGCGACGCUUGUAGCCCGCAAGGGGCUUUGUCUGGGCUGGAAGAGCUUGGCUUCCUCAGUCCAGAAAUAAUUUGAACUUUGCACCUGAUGGAUCAGAAAAGAAAAAAAAAAAACAACUAAUUUUAUAUUGCUAUGCCAUACAUCAAAUCAUUUUUAAGUCGCAUUUAUUUCCAAUAGAGGCUCCCAUUCUUCACAGACUUCUGACUUGAAAAAUAAACUGCCACCUUCCUCCUCUUCUGCGUGACACCAGGAAGUGAUUACACAAGUCCUUCCCAGAUGAAAGGUCAAAAGACAGACAGCUCAAGGUAUGAGCUGUGAUUGGUUGAUGGAGGAAAACAGUCGCGGACAGGAGUUCAGUCUCUGACUCUCGGUAGAUUAUAAGCAUAGCGCACCAGAGGGAAUCCGCGACUCUGGUAGAAGCAGGCUCGUCCACAGCCGAGACAAAGGAAUCCUCUUCAUCUGCAUAGUCAGAAUGGGCCGACUGUGUGCCACAAUCAGACCAGUAGGCCUCUGGCCUCUGGCAAGAGGCCACUGUCAAUACAGGACAACUGUGCGAUUUUAUUAAGUGUUUGCACGAUACUGGUUUUGUCAGAAGAAAUGACUCACAGCAGUCACAGACAGUCAGGUUACCCUGCAAGUGGGAAUACAUGCCACAGUCGUAGUAGAAAUCCUGUUCCCCACAACCGCCUUGGCUGCUGAUGGAGACUGAGACUGAUCCGUGUUUCCUGGUGACACGCCGCUUCAGGAGCUUCCAGUCGUCUUUAAACUUUGGGUUGAAGAAAACGUACAGGACUGGAUUCAGGAAAUGGCAAGCACAAGGGUGAUGCAGAAUAUUGCCCUCCGUGAAAAAGGGGGAAGCAGCCUGCUAUUGCAGCACCCAGCAAAGCUACGAGGGCAGCCACCUGGAACUGUCGGAGGUGACUGCUUUUCCCAUUUUUCAUUACAUCCUUUGCAAAAACGCUUCUUUCCACGGCUGCCAGGGUUAACAGGAAUACGGCGCUCUCUGAGGAGAAGACUGCCAGAGACCCAGCUACCUUGCAGCCGCUGCCAGUUUCCCACCAAAUGCCAAAUUCAGCAAAUCGGCCCCAGGACACAGCAUCAAGAAAAGUAAGGAUGCCAGUAUAGAUGCCCAUGAGUAAGUUAGACACAGAAAUCAAGCCUAUGAAGAGCUUGGAGGCAGGCAGUGAUGAACAAGACGCAAACACUGUUAAAAUGACAAGCAGGUUGAAAAGCAAGGCGACCAGGAAAAUGAACCACACUGUAAGGCGAAUCAUCCAGCUUCCCAGUAAAUAUUCACAGGGCUUAAAAGCACCUAGAAAUGGAAAAGAAAGGGUACAAUGAAACACAUUUAGAGAACACUGAAUAUUAUGGUCUGGUGAUAAGCGUGCCACCUGCAAAUUCAAAGAUUGCUACUUCUAAGAUAUUUUAGUCACAAACUAGUUUAUUUAAAAAAUUAAUUGCCCUAAAUUUUAGAAAUGAAAUAUUUGGUAGAGUCACAUGGAGGUAACUGAAAUAAAAUUUCACUUUAUAUAAAAUUAA
rnacentral:lncRNA from 1 species